UACGAAGGUCCCAAGCGUUAUCCGGAUUUAUUGGGUUUAAAGGGUGCGUAGGCGGGUUAUUAAGUCGGUGGUGAAAGCCUACAGCUUAACUGUAGAACUGCCAUUGAUACUGAUGAUCUUGAGUACGAUUGAGGUAGGCGGAAUGUGUCAUGUAGCGGUGAAAUGCUUAGAUAUGACACAGAACACCGAUUGCGAAGGCAGCUUACUAAGUCGUAACUGACGCUGAUGCACGAAAGCGUGGGGAGCAAACAGG
rnacentral:rRNA from 1 species